GAGGCUAUGGCUCAGGGGUAGAGUGUGUGCUUAGCAUGCACGAGGUCCUGGGUUCAAUCCCCAGUACCUCCA
rnacentral:tRNA from 1 species